CUGACCAAAGGGCUUACUGGAUGAAGCUAACCACAUAGAGUGAGACCAGAGAGAAGAUGUGGCCCAGGAAGUCAUAACCUCCUGUUCCUGACUUGGACUUUCUGUAAGUGUGAUUCCUAACCUGGUUACUCAUCAGAAUCAUACAAGGAACAUUAGAAAAGGACAAGGGUCUUGCCGUGGUGCCCUGUCUAGUCUCGAACUCCCGGGUUCAAGUAAUCUUCCUGCCUCAGCCUCCAAUCCUCAGCCUGCUGGGAUUACAGAAUGUGUUAGAUGCCUGCCGGGAAGGAUUUCAAAAUUGAGGGUGGAGACAGGAAAAUAGACAACAUCUGGUUGACAGCAUGUUAAGAGCAAAACCUAAAGUGUGUGGACCCCAACCACUCCUACAACCAUAUGGCGCAGCUAUUCAAGCUUUGUCCUAUGUCUGGAGACUUCUUGGAAGCUGGAGCACACAAAUAGCUACAGCAAACUUGAGGAAUGGGCAUGAAUAGACUGGCUUCGGGGAACCUGCCAGCUCGGCCGUGUGGCCAAGGUAAUGGGCAAGCCAAGGCAGAGCUAGAGCUCAGAGCUGGAGGGGAAAUUAAAGCAGCAAAUGUAGAAACAUUAAGCCUGAAGAGGCGACAACGUUGAAUUCUAAAAUGCAGGCCAAAGCUCAGACUGCAAGCUGUCUGGCUGCUCCGGGUGUGCCCAGAAGUCAAAGUCCAGCAGGGGCAAAGGUGGAGGUGUGGUCCUGCAUGUGGGGUGUUGGGGGGAUGUGGAAGAGGAGGUGCUUUAAGACCCAGAGAUUCCGGCUGCCCUGCUGCACCCUUGGAAGAAUAAAAGGCUAGCAACUGGACAAGUCAGGCUCAAGUCCAAGCUGCCUAAGGAAUCAGGGAAAGAAUGGAGCUCAGAGUGGGAGGUCAGGGCAGUAUCUAAAAAUCCAGGAUAUCAGCAAAGCUGGCGGUGGCCCCUGACUCUGGUAAGGGCAGCCUGCAGCACCAUGCCAAGGGGGGCCUGACUGAUCACGCCCUGCAUUUGCAAACAAGGAUUAGUAGGGUAUGAGUAGGAUUCUGCUGGUGCCCGGGUAGGCAAUGCCAUCUACAUCUUUACAAAGUUUUAACAAAGGCCUGAAGGACACAACCUUCCCCAAAGUCCUGACGUCUCUGUUUGCUGGCAACAAAUAGAGUCAAAAGAAGAGAGGCACAGAAUGUGCCAGGGGUGUGCUGCAUACAGCCCCGAUGACCACAAGGCCUUCUUGGGUCAAGUUCUGCCAUCUCUGGUUAAGAUGGGCUCACCCUCUAGGACCUUGAUUGAGUCCUCGGACCACCAAGAGUGCCCCACCAAGAGCCUCCCUCUUCUGGUGACUCGUGCCUGCUUCCCGUGGAGAGCUCCAGAAGGGAGGAAACUGUGAGGAGGUGGAGAACGUGGCAGGGAUCCUAACUUUCUUACUGAAGGAAGUUCUUAACAAGUACCCAUCUGCCUUCAGGGAAGAAAACACAACUCAUUUUGGUCUUUCAAAUUCAGUUCUCAAAACCAAAUCCUGUUGUCAGCAAUCUGUGUCCCAACGCCUUCUUCAGCAACAGCAUUUUCCCUGUGGAAUUAGUUUCCAAUGUUCUUCCUUAAAUAAACCACUGAAGAUUAAAAGGAAUCCAGAUACCCAUCACAUUUUGUUUCCUUAAUGAGUAAUUAUCACAUUUCUUUGGCUACUUAAAUGCAUUCUCUGAGUCAGGUAAAGGAGAUCAUAAUAGUUAAUCAACAACAAGUAAUUCUUGG
rnacentral:lncRNA from 1 species